rnacentral:rRNA from 1 species
UGCAGUCGAGCGGAACGAUCCUAGCUUGCUAGGAGGCGUCGAGCGGCGGACGGGUGAGUAAUGCAUAGGAAUCUGCCCGAUAGUGGGGGAUAACCUGAGGAAACUCAGGCUAAUACCGCAUACGUCCUACGGGAGAAAGCAGGGGCUCUUCGGACCUUGCGCUAUCGGAUGAGCUUAUGUCGGAUUAGCUGGUUGGUGAGGUAACGGCUCACCAAGGCGACGAUCCGUAGCUGGUCUGAGAGGAUGAUCAGCCACAUCGGGACUGAGACACGGCCCGAACUCCUACGGGAGGCAGCAGUGGGGAAUAUUGGACAAUGGGGGCAACCCUGAUCCAGCCAUGCCGCGUGUGUGAAGAAGGCCCUCGGGUUGUAAAGCACUUUCAGUGAGGAAGAAGGCUUGUCGGUUAAUACCCGGCAAGGGAGACAUCACUCACAGAAGAAGCACCGGCUAACUCCGUGCCAGCAGCCGCGGUAAUACGGAGGGUGCGAGCGUUAAUCGGAAUUACUGGGCGUAAAGCGUGCGUAGGCGGCUUGAUAAGCCGGUUGUGAAAGCCCCGGGCUCAACCUGGGAACGGCAUCCGGAACUGUCAGGCUAGAGUGCAGGAGAGGAAGGUAGAAUUCCCGGUGUAGCGGUGAAAUGCGUAGAGAUCGGGAGGAAUACCAGUGGCGAAGGCGGCCUUCUGGACUGACACUGACGCUGAGGUACGAAAGCGUGGGUAGCAAACAGGAUUAGAUACCCUGGUAGUCCACGCCGUAAACGAUGUCGACUAGCCGUUGGGGUCCUCGAGACCUUUGUGGCGCAGUUAACGCACUAAGUCGACCGCCUGGGGGAGUACGGCCGCAAGGUUAAAACUCAAUGAAUUGACGGGGCCCGCACAGCGGUGGAGCAUGGUGGUUUAAUUCGAUGCACGCGAGACUUACUACCCUUGACAUCGUG